rnacentral:rRNA from 1 species
GCUAAACGCGAAGAACCUUACCAAGGCUUGACAUAUACCGUUCAUCCCUAGAGAUAGGGAGUCCUUCGGGCGGGUAUACAGUGGUGCAUGGUUGUCGUCAGCUCGUGUCGUGAGAUGUUGGGUUAAGUCCCGCAACGAGCGCAACCCUCGUUCUAUGUUGCCAGCACGUAAUGGUGGGGACGUCAUAGGAGACUGCCGGGGUCGAACUCGGAGGAAGGUGGGGAUGACGUCAAAUCAUCAUGCCCCUUAUGUCUUGGGCUUCACGCAUGCUACAAUGGCCGGUACAAAGGGCUGCAAUACCGUAAGGUGGAGCGAAUCCCAAAAAGCCGGUCUCAGUUCGGAUUGAGGUCUGCAACUCGACCUCAUGAAGUCGGAGUCGCUAGUAAUCGCAGAUCAGCAACGCUGCGGUGAAUACGUUCCCGGGUCUUGUACACACCG